AAUUUGCUUUCUUUUAUAUGUAUGGUUAAACAAGAAGAUUUGUACUAGAAAGACACCUUUGUUCAUGUAGUACAAUGGAGUGAAAGUAGUACGCAACUAAGUUCUAAGUUGUGCGAUAUAUUAGCAGUGUAAGGCAGGGAAGUUGUACAGAAAUAAGUCUAGAGCCAUGACGAAGAGAACAAGUGUUGCAGUAUAUGCCAAAGCGGUAGAGGGGUUCUGUAGGAGUGACCUGAGAUCACAUAUGGCGCUAUGUGUUGCGCUUGAUGUGUUCUCAGGUCGCCCCUGCGGCACCUUCUCUGCCACAUGAAUGCACUACUGUUGAUCUGCUGAAUGUCCAGUCAUGAUGGACCCGAGGUGCUACAUCAAAAGCUCAUACUGUAAGUACGUGUUGGUGCUCACAAAAGAAAGUCAAAUCUAUUCCUACCUGGAUAAAUCAGUGACUGAAUCAAUAUCCUUACAGCUGACUUGAUGGCUAGUAGCUCUCCUUCCCCAACUUUCCGAGGAUAAAACAUUAGUUAUCUUGGUAGACUGAUGAUGUUGCUUAUCCAGAUUGACUAUUCAUACUCUGAGCAUUAUUUGACUGUCAUUUGAUCUUUAUACUGCCAUGUUACUAUUAAAGUUCAUGCCAGAGAAUACAGUAUGAAUUGACUAGCAAUCUGUCGUAAUCCAGUCAAGCGUAUUGUUCAACCAUACAACUGAGAAAUUUGAGAGUGAAACUACAGUAAUAACUCUAUUACCCUAAUUAUUGCACACAGUUAGAGUUUGCUUAUUUAUAAUUACAUCUUAAUACGUUACUACUCUUCGGGGUGUUAUUACUGUAGAGGGUCACCUGAGUUAUACAAAUGCAUAGAGUCACCCUAUGAGUUUAAUUGGAUAUGUUAUUACUAUUGCAGCAGUUUGCUAUUAUCCCCUAUGGAAUCAAUAGUCAAGUAUACAGUCUACAAUUUGUCAACAGUAUAACUCGUCAUAUAGCUCUUUCCCACUCUCCCAUGUAAAUGGGUCUCGAGUUCUUUUAUUGUAAUGCGUUGAUUGAAAUAUUGACAGUUAAGUCUGAAAAAUUGGCUCCAAAAAAAAAAAAAAAAAAAAAAAAAAAACCAAUCAUUGCAAAAAGGUUUGAAAAAAUCAAAUGGUAAUUUUUUUUAAAGAUCAGAAAAACACAGAAAUGAAAUUUGAUAUUUGAAUUGAAUGGCCUAUCUGAUGUUUAUUAAAUUCAAAUAUCAGAAUGAGGGCUUUGUUGCAAUUUUUGAACAUAAAAGUUAAAAAAUACAAUUUCGAAGGUUCUACUCUGUAAAAUGUUAGUACUUCACUCCAUUUUUACUAGGUGUACCCGCGUGUGCACCCUCAAUUUUCAAAUUGACCUGCUUUUACAGAAGUGCUCAAAAUUCAGGGGUUACUCAAUUUCAUGUUUCAAAUUGUAUUUGAAUUGCAGUCCAUCACUCCAUUGGAGUGCUUGAGUGCUCCAGUGUUUGAAUUUUCUUUCAAGCAGUAUCUGAAUUGCUAGAGUGCUUCAAUGUUCAAAUUUGAAAUUGUUUUCAAAUUGUUGUCAGUUUUAGUUUUCAUUUUGUUUGUUAUAUCUUUCACAUUUCUUUCAUUUUUUCUCAUUUAUCUCAUAUAUUUUUCUUUUAUUUAUAGGGCAAAAAAAAAAAAAAAAAAGUAAUAGUUAAAAAAUUAAGGCAAAUGUAAAUGACGCUUUACCGCAAUAGAGAACACUUAUGCGUAUGUAUUCCUAGUACAAGUUCGAUCUCUACUAAUUUUUUUUUCCUUAUAUAAUUAAUAAUUUAACCUACUAAUCACUAUUGUUUGUCAAAAAAAAAAAAAAAUGUUAUCAAGCUCUUUUCUUCGAAGCGGUUACCCAGGCCUUGAUAGAGUAAAAACUGGUUUGGUAUUGUUGUGCUUUGAAAAAAAAACUGAUUCUGAUGUGUUGUAAGAAUAAACAGCUAUGAAAUAAAGCAAUAGAGUGUUUGGUAAACAUUUUUGUAACAGUGCUUUUGAAAAAGAAAAAAAAAACAGUAUUAUAGUGUUUGAUAAACUUUCAUAUAAAACAAAUGUGAAAAAAAAACUAGUUUUUCAAAACUGAGUUUUGCAGUUUUGUGUUUUUAACUUUUUUUCACCAAAAACUAUGAAAAAAAAACUAAAACUGAAUGUUUACCAAACAUAAAAAAGCGUUUAUAACUACUUUUUCCAAAAUCAACUAAGCAUUAAACUAGGGCUAAGCACAGUGGGUUAUUUGCUCAUCUCUAGGACUGCAAGUCUCAAGCCAACCACCAACCACCAACCUCCAAGGGGUUCCAAACUCUGCAAGGCCUCGCUUUGUGUCAUAAGUGGAAGUCGAUGCAGCUCAAUUUAUGGAAGUUGAGAGGGACAAGGACCUAAUAUUUUCAAGACACACCCAUCAUCCGUGUUAUAUAAUAUAAGGAUGAGCAUUAUCUCUAGAAUCUCUUUACGGGAAUUUUAAGAAUUUUCAUAUUAUGACUGUUCAUUAUAUAUCAUAUAGUCAGUUUUUUGUUAAAUACUAUUGUGUUUAAUUUUAAUUCAAAAAAUUCAUGAUCACAUGAUGUACGAUAAACGAUUAGAAUGUGAGAAUUCUAAAGAUUCCUACAAUUUGGGUCAGGACGAUAUACAAAUCCAUGUAAUAUUAUAUUAUAAUAUAAUAUAAUAAUGAUUCCACAUUA